UACGGAGGGUGCGAGCGUUGUUCGGAAUUAUUGGGCGUAAAGGGCGCGUAGGCGGCCUGGCAAGUGACGGGUGAAAUCCCUCGGCUUAACCGAGGAACUGCCUGUCAGACUGCUGGGCUUGAGACCGGGAGAGGUGAGUGGAAUUCCCAGUGUAGCGGUGAAAUGCGUAGAUAUUGGGAGGAACACCAGUGGCGAAGGCGGCUCACUGGACCGGAACUGACGCUGAGGCGCGAAAACGUGGGGAGCAAACAGG
rnacentral:rRNA from 1 species